GAUGAACGCUGGCGGCGUGCCUAAUACAUGCAAGUCGAGCGAACAGACGAGGAGCUUGCUCCUCUGACGUUAGCGGCGGACGGGUGAGUAACACGUGGAUAACCUACCUAUAAGACUGGGAUAACUUCGGGAAACCGGAGCUAAUACCGGAUAAUAUAUUGAGCCGCAUGGUUCAAUAGUGAAAGACGGUUUUGCUGUCACUUAUAGAUGGAUCCGCGCCGCAUUAGCUAGUUGGUAAGGUAACGGCUUACCAAGGCAACGAUGCGUAGCCGACCUGAGAGGGUGAUCGGCCAAACUGGAACUGAGACACGGUCCAGACUCCUACGGGAGGCAGCAGUAGGGAAUCUUCCGCAAAGGGCGAAAGCCUGACGGAGCAACGCCGCGUGAGUGAUGAAGGUCUUCGGAUCGUAAAACUCUGUUAUUAGGGAAGAACAAAUGUGUAAGUAACUAUGCACGUCUUGACGGUACCUAAUCAGAAAGCCACGGCUAACUACGUG
rnacentral:rRNA from 1 species